CUGAAACAAUGUGGUGAGGAUGUGUGACAUCACCUGAGGGAGUUGUCUCCAAAACAGGCAACCUAGGAAGAACAAAGCAGCAACACCAGCAAGAACUCAAGAUGGCAUAUAUAGUAUUCCCUCCUCCAACUGUCCCAGAACAAUCCUAUGAGGUCACCCAGUAAGCUACCAUGACCAAGGUUGGACUUGAACCUAGGUCUCUAAUGUGAUGACACAUCUUCCCACCACCAAACUGAAGACCAGAUGCUCCUACUCAUCUUCCUGAUAUUUUCAGCUCAGAUACCAUGGUUAGAAAGGUUACAGACAGCAACUCGUCUUCUCUCCUUCCACCUCUAUGGCAGUGGCCAAGUUACCUAUUAAUUUCCUUUACUUUUCAAAGGAAACUACAGACUCGUGAAUACACAGGCUUUGGAGUCCACAGUGGGGUGGAGGGGGAAAGCAGCAUUUUUAAAGCAGCGCAAGGCACCGACUAGGAUUGUCUUUUAAAUUCAGCUGCCAGAACUCUUCAGGUAAGAAGCUACAGUAAUCACUGCAAAGGGCUCCUGUUUCAGUUAAAAAAAAAAAAAAGCAGGGGAUGAG